rnacentral:tRNA from 1 species
AUUGGGAUGACUGAAUUAAAGUAAUAAACUGUAAAUUUAUGUAUGAAUAUAAUAUUCUCUCAAUA